AUUGAACGCUGGCGGCAGGCCUAACACAUGCAAGUCGAGCGGAUGAAGGGAGCUUGCUCCUGGAUUCAGCGGCGGACGGGUGAGUAAUGCCUAGGAAUCUGCCUGGUAGUGGGGGAUAACGUCCGGAAACGGGCGCUAAUACCGCAUACGUCCUGAGGGUGAAAGUGGGGGAUCUUCGGACCUCACGCUAUCAGAUGAGCCUAGGUCGGAUUAGCUAGUUGGUGGGGUAAAGGCCUACCAAGGCGACGAUCCGUAACUGGUCUGAGAGGAUGAUCAGUCACACUGGAACUGAGACACGGUCCAGACUCCUACGGGAGGCAGCAGUGGGGAAUAUUGGACAAUGGGCGAAAGCCUGAUCCAGCCAUGCCGCGUGUGUGAAGAAGGUCUUCGGAUUGUAAAGCACUUUUAGUUGGGAGGAAGGGCAGUAAGUUAAUACCUUGCUGUUUUGACGUUACCAACAGAAUAAGCACCGGCUAACUUCGUG
rnacentral:rRNA from 1 species